rnacentral:rRNA from 1 species
GAUGAACGCUAGCUACAGGCUUAACACAUGCAAGUCGAGGGACCGGCGCACGGGUGAGUAACACGUAUCCAACAUGCCCUUUACUCGGGGAUAGCCUUUCGAAAGUAAGAUUAAUACCCGAUAUAAAGGAUGGGGAUGCGUUCCAUUAGGUUUGUGGUGAGGUAACGGCUCACCAAGCCUUCGAUGGUUAGGGGUUCUGAGAGCAAGCCCCCCCAGAUUUGAGAUGAGACCCGGACCACACUCCUACGGGAGGCAGCGGAGAGUAGGAUUGGUAAAUGGGCUCUAGCCUAAACCAGCCAAGUAGGGUAAAGAGUGAAUGCGUAUGAGUCGUAAACUUCUUUUAUAUAAGAAUCUGUAUUUUAUGAAUAAGGAUCGGCUAACUCCGUGCCAGCAGCCGCGGUAAUAC